rnacentral:rRNA from 1 species
UACGGGGGGGGCAAGCGUUGUUCGGAAUUACUGGGCGUAAAGGGCUCGUAGGCGGCCAACUAAGUCGGAUGUGAAAUCCCCAGGCUUAACUUGGGAACUGCAUCCGAUACUGGAUGGCUUGAAUCCGGGAGAGGGAUGCAGAAUUCCAGGUGUAGCGGUGAAAUGCGUAGAUAUCUGGAGGAAUACCGGUGGCGAAGGCGGCGUUCUGGACCAUUACUGACACUGAAUCGCGAAAGCUAGGGGAGCAAACGGG